rnacentral:rRNA from 1 species
UACGUAGGGUGCGAGCGUUGUCCGGAAUUAUUGGGCGUAAAGGGCUCGUAGGCGGUUUGUCGCGUCGGGAGUGAAAACUCAGGGCUUAACCCUGAGCCUGCUUCCGAUACGGGCAGACUAGAGGUAUGCAGGGGAGAACGGAAUUCCUGGUGUAGCGGUGAAAUGCGCAGAUAUCAGGAGGAACACCGGUGGCGAAGGCGGGUCUCUGGGCCGAUACUGACGCUGAGGAGCGAAAGCGUGGGGGAGCGAACAGG